rnacentral:rRNA from 1 species
CCUACGGGUGGCAGCAGUGAGGAAUAUUGGGCAAUGGACGAGAGUCUGAACCAGCCAAGUAGCGUGAAGGAUGACUGCCCUAUGGGUUGUAAACUUCUUUUAUAUGGGAAUAAAAUGUUCCACGUGUGGGAUUUUGUAUGUACCAUAUGAAUAAGGAUCGGCUAACUCCGGGCCAGCAGCCGCGGUAAUACGGAGGAUCCGAGCGUUAUCCGGAUUUAUUGGGUUUAAAGGGAGCGUAGGUGGAUUGUUAAGUCAGUUGUGAAAGUUUGGGGCUUAACCGUAAAAUUGCAGUUGAUACUGGCAGUCUUGAGUACAGUAGAGGUGGGUGGAAUUCGAGGUGUAGCGGUGAAAUGCUUAGAGAUGACGAAGAAUUCCGAUUGCGAAGGCAGCUCACUGGACUUCAACUGACACUGAGGCUCGAAAGUGUGGGUAGCAAACAGGAUUAGAUACCCCGGUAGUC